rnacentral:rRNA from 1 species
UACGGAGGAUGCGAGCGUUAUCCGGAUUUAUUGGGUUUAAAGGGUGCGUAGGCGGAUCGUUAAGUCAGUGGUCAAAUUGAGGGGCUCAACCCCUUCCCGCCAUUGAAACUGGCGAUCUUGAGUGGAAGAGAAGUAUGCGGAGUGCGUGGUGUAGCGGUGAAAUGCAUAGAUAUCACGCAGAACCCCGAUUGCGAAGGCAGCAUGCCGGCUUCCGACUGACGCUGAAGCACGAAAGCGUGGGGAUCGAACAGG